CGACGGUAACAUUGAUGCUUGCAUCAGAUGACGAGUGGCGCACGGGUGAGUAACGCGUAUACAAUCUACCUUUUACAGGGGGAUAGCCUUUAGAAAUGAAGAUUAAUAUCCCAUAGUAAGUAGUUUUGGCAUCAAGACAACUUUAAAGUUUCGGCGGUAAAAGAUGAGUAUGCGUUCUAUUAGUUAGUUGGUAAGGUAACGGCUUACCAAGACCACGAUAGAUAGGGGCCCUGAGAGGGGGAUCCCCCACACUGGUACUGAGACACGGACCAGACUCCUACGGGAGGCAGCAGUGAGGAAUAUUGGACAAUGGGCGCGAGCCUGAUCCAGCCAUGCCGCGUGCAGGAAGACUGCCCUAUGGGUUGUAAACUGCUUUUAUACAGGAAGAAACCUUUUCACGUGUGAAAAGCUGACGGUACUGUAAGAAUAAGGAUCGGCUAACUCCGUGCCAGCAGCCGCGGUAAUACGGAGGAUCCAAGCGUUAUCCGGAAUCAUUGGGUUUAAAGGGUCCGUAGGUGGAUAAUUAAGUCAGGGGUGAAAGUUUGCAGCUCAACUGUAAAAUUGCCUUUGAUACUGGUUAUCUUGAAUUAUUGUGAAGUGGUUAGAAUAUGUA
rnacentral:rRNA from 2 species